UACAGAGGGUGCAAGCGUUAAUCGGAAUUACUGGGCGUAAAGCGAGCGUAGUCGGUUAUUUAAGUCGGAUGUGAAAGCCCCGGGCUCAACCUGGGAAUUGCAUUCGAUACUGGAUAGCUAGAGUUCGGCAGAGGGAAGCGGAAUUUCCGGUGUAGCGGUGAAAUGCGUAGAUAUCGGAAGGAACAUCAGUGGCGAAAGCGGCUUCCUGGACCAGAACUGACGAUCAGGCUCGAAAGCGUGGGGAGCAAACAGG
rnacentral:rRNA from 1 species